UAUAUAUAUAUAUAUAUAUAUAUAUAUAUAUAUAUAUACAUUAAAAAAUAUAUAAAAUAUAAACAAAGCAAUAACCUUAGGACAACAAACUUCAUGGUAAUGGCUAAUACAUCAACCACCUUUCUGUUGUAACCAUGCGAUUACUUUCAGUCCUAAAAUGACAAAAUCAACUCAAAUGAUUAACAUGGUGCAAAAUAAAUGGGUUCUUUCUCCUAACAAAGACAACGCAAUCAUAUUCCAACGUAUGACUGGGUUCAAUCAGCAAACUUACACGCGAUGUUUGAUUAAUGUUUUGUGUUCAUUGCUUCCCCACUCACAGAAACGGACUUCACCCAAAAAAACACUUGUGCUAAACCUAAUUAACUAUUUGUGCACUGACUGCAUUUUACUUUAAGAGCUUAAUGUAAAAUGAUGAGUUACAGUAGCAAAUUUGUUUCAGGAAUUCUUCCGUGGUAGGGUUUAGUUAAUAACGCACAUGAUAUUGAUAAGAUACAUGAAAGUUUGGAAAAUCUGACCGCCGUCAUGUUUGCGGGGUUCAGCGAUUUUCCUAAAGCCUUGCGAGCUAUGCGUAACAUCUUACUUCAGAACCAGAUGGGUCUAGAUUUACUGUUAGCAGCUCAGGGGGAGGCUCUGUCAUGUAUUAAGUGAUCAAUGCCACACAUUCAUUCCAGACAUUGCAGGUAACCUCACAGACACAUUUCAUCAGCUAAACCAACUCGCCACUAGUCUUAGGGCUCAUGAUGUCCCUCACACUUAUUCUGUGUGGGACUGGGUCGCUUGGAUAUUUGGGGUG